UGUAUAUUGUAAAUAAUCAUCUUUGAUUAAGCUUUACAAUUUAGAGUUUUCAUUUGUUCUGAAUAGAACAAUGUUUGAUGCAAUUUACAUUGCUCACGUGCAAGUAUCAUUUGAUUAAGACUUGCAGUGUUUACAUGACACUGGUAAAUAUUUGUGUAUCUCAAGAUGGACUUUUUUGUUGUUACUUAUGCUAUAACUGUAGCUGCUAAUAUUUUUGUCAUCCUGUUACCUGUCAAUAAUUUAUGGUAUGUUCCAGAUUGUUUAUUCUUUCUAGCAUAUCUUAAAAUAUUUAUCAUGGUUUACUCUUGCUUCUAGGGCCUUGAGAUAUGUUACGACAAAGCUCUUUAAUUGGGUAUUUGCUACGGUCCGGAAGAUGUGAGAUGUCAUGAAGAACUUUUUGAGAAGAUGUCUUUGCUACAGCAGUUUCAGUUUAUACGUCCUGAAAACUUGGAUAUGAGACCAGAAUAUCAGAAUGAAACAUCAUGGCUGCCAGUUGAAAUUGUCGCACCCCGAUCACAUGCUAGUUUAAUCAACCGCACCAGCAGAAGAUAACUUUGACA